rnacentral:rRNA from 1 species
AUUGAACGCUGGCGGCGUGCCUAACACAUGCAAGUCGAGCGGUAACAGGUGUAGCAAUACAUGCUGACGAGCGGCGGACGGGUGAGUAACGCUUGGGAAUCUGCCUAUUAGUGGGGGACAACCCGGGGAAACUCGGGCUAAUACCGCAUACGCUCUACGGAGGAAAGCCGGGGACCGCAAGGCCUGGCGCUAAUAGAUGAGCCCAAGUCGGAUUAGCUAGUUGGUAGGGUAAUGGCCUACCAAGGCGACGAUCCGUAACUGGUCUGAGAGGACGACCAGUCACACCGGAACUGAGACACGGUCCGGACUCCUACGGGAGGCAGCAGUGGGGAAUAUUGGACAAUGGGCGAAAGCCUGAUCCAGCGACGCCGCGUGGGUGAAGAAGGCCUGCGGGUUGUAAAGCCCUUUCAGUGGGGGAAGAAAAGCCCUCGACCUAACACGUCGGGGUCUUGACGUAACCCAUAGAANAAGCACCAGCU